CGAACCGGAUUAGAUACCCGGGUAGUCCUAGCCGUAAACGAUGCUCACUAGGUGUGGGGACGGAAGUCUCCGUGCUGAAGCGAACGCGAUAAGUGAGCCGCCUGGGGAGUACGCCCGCAAGGGUGAAACUCAAAGGAAUUGACGGGGGCCCGCACAAGCGGUGGAGCGUGUGGUUUAAUUGGAAGCUAAGCCAAGAACCUUACCAGGGCUUGACAUGCUGGUGGUACCGAGCCGAAAGGUGAGGGACCCUGCCGUAAGGUAGGGAGCCAGCACAGGUGGUGCACGGUCGUCGUCAGCUCGUGCCGUGAGGUGUUGGGUUAAGUCCCGCAACGAGCGCAACCCCUGCCCUUAGUUGCCAGCGGUAAGGCCGGGCACUCUAAGGGGACUGCCGGCGACGAGCCGGAGGAAGGAGGGGAUGACGUCAGAUACUCGUGCCCCUUAUGUCCUGGGCGACACACGCGCUACAAUGGGAUGGACAGCGGGAAGCGAGGCAGCGAUGCUGAGCAAAACCCUGAAACCAUCCCCCAGUUCAGAUUGUGGGCUGAAACCCGCCCACAUGAAGCCGGAAUCGCUAGUAAUCGCGGAUCAGCCACGCCGCGGUGAAUACGUUCCCGGGCCUUGUACACACCGCCCGUCAAGCCACCCGAGUCGCGGGCACCCGAAGACGGUGACCCUUAGGGGCGCCGUUGAGGGUGAACGUGGUGAGGGGGGCUAAGUCGUAACAAGGUAGGUGUACCGGAAGGUGCGCCUGGAUCACCUCCUUUCU
rnacentral:rRNA from 1 species